rnacentral:rRNA from 1 species
GACGAACGCUGGCGGCGUGCUUAACACAUGCAAGUCGAACGGAAAGGCCCUGCUUUUGUGGGGUGCUCGAGUGGCGAACGGGUGAGUAACACGUGAGUAACCUGCCCUUGACUUUGGGAUAACUUCAGGAAACUGGGGCUAAUACCGGAUAGGAGCUCCUGCUGCAUGGUGGGGGUUGGAAAGUUUCGGCGGUUGGGGAUGGACUCGCGGCUUAUCAGCUUGUUGGUGGGGUAGUGGCUUACCAAGGCUUUGACGGGUAGCCGGCCUGAGAGGGUGACCGGCCACAUUGGGACUGAGAUACGGCGCAGACUCCUACGGGAGGCAGUAGUAGGAAAUAUUGCACGAUGGACGGAAGCCUUAUGCAGCGAGGCCGCGUGCGGGAUAACGGCCUUCGGGUUGGAAACCGCUUUCGCCUGUGACGAAGCGUGAGUGACGGUAAUUGGUAAAGAAGCACCGGCUAACUACGUG